rnacentral:rRNA from 1 species
UACGGAGGGUGCAAGCGUUAUCCGGAAUCAUUGGGUUUAAAGGGUGCGUAGGCGGCUAUGUAAGUCAGUUGUGAAAUACCUCGGCUUAACCGAAGGAAGUGCGAUUGAUACUGCGUAGCUUGAAUCAGGUUGAGGUAGGCGGAAUGUGGCAUGUAGCGGUGAAAUGCUUAGAUAUGCCAUAGAACACCGAUUGCGAAGGCAGCUUACUGGGCUUUGAUUGACGCUGAGGCACGAAAGCGUGGGGAGCAAACAGG